rnacentral:rRNA from 1 species
CACACCGCCCGUCACAUCACGAAAGCCGGCUGUACCGGAAGUCGCCGUGCCAACCGCAAGGAGGCAGGCGCCCAUGGUAUGGUCGGUGAUUGGGGUG